UACAGAGGGUGCGAGCGUUGUUCGGAAUUACUGGGCGUAAAGCGCGCGCAGGCGGCUUUUUAAGUCCGUUGGUGAAAUGCCGGGGCUCAACCCCGUGCCCGCCAGGGAUACUGGAGAGCUGGAGACGAGUAGAGGCAAGCGGAAUUCCGGGUGUAGCGGUGGAAUGCGUAGAGAUCCGGAAGAACACCGGAGGCGAAGGCGGCUUGCUGGGCUCGGUCUGACGCUGAGGUGCGAAAGCGUGGGGAGCAAACAGG
rnacentral:rRNA from 1 species